CUACGGGGGGCUCCAGUGAGGAAUAUUGCACAAUGGGGGAAACCCUGAUGCAGCAACGCCGCGUGGAGGAUGACGCAUUUCGGUGUGUAAACUCCUUUUAUAUGUCAAGAAAAUGACGGUAGCAUAUGAAUAAGCACCGGCUAACUCCGUGCCAGCAGCCGCGGUAAUACGGAGGGUGCAAGCGUUACUCGGAAUCACUGGGCGUAAAGGACGCGUAGGCUGGUUGGUAAGUCAGGUGUGAAAUCCUACAGCUUAACUGUAGAACUGCACUUGAAACUACAACCUAGAGUAUGGGAGGGGGAGAUGGAAUUAGUGGUGUAGGGGUAAAAUCCGUAGAUAUCACUAGGAAUACCGAAAGCGAAGGCGAUCUCCUGGAACAUAACUGACGCUAAGGCGUGAAAGCGUGGGGAGCAAACAGGAUUAGAUACCCUUGUAGUC
rnacentral:rRNA from 1 species